GAUGAACGCUGGCGGCGUGCCUAAUACAUGCAAGUCGAGCGAACGGACGAGAAGCUUGCUUCUCUGAUGUUAGCGGCGGACGGGUGAGUAACACGUGGAUAACCUACCUAUAAGACUGGGAUAACUUCGGGAAACCGGAGCUAAUACCGGAUAAUAUUUUGAACCGCAUGGUUCAAAAGUGAAAGACGGUCUUGCUGUCACUUAUAGAUGGAUCCGCGCUGCAUUAGCUAGUUGGUAAGGUAACGGCUUACCAAGGCAACGAUGCAUAGCCGACCUGAGAGGGUGAUCGGCCACACUGGAACUGAGACACGGUCCAGACUCCUACGGGAGGCAGCAGUAGGGAAUCUUCCGCAAUGGGCGAAAGCCUGACGGAGCAACGCCGCGUGAGUGAUGAAGGUCUUCGGAUCGUAAAACUCUGUUAUUAGGGAAGAACAUAUGUGUAAGUAACUGUGCACAUCUUGACGGUACCUAAUCAGAAAGCCACGGCUAACUACGUGCCAGCAGCCGCGGUAAUACGUAGGUGGCAAGCGUUAUCCGGAAUUAUUGGGCGUAAAGCGCGCGUAGGCGGUUUUUUAAGUCUGAUGUGAAAGCCCACGGCUCAACCGUGGAGGGUCAUUGGAAACUGGAAAACUUGAGUGCGGAAGAGGAAAGUGGAAUUCCAUGUGUAGCGGUGAAAUGCGCAGAGAUAUGGAGGAACACCAGUGGCGAAGGCGACUUUCUGGUCUGUAACUGACGCUGAUGUGCGAAAGCGUGGGGAUCAAACAGGAUUAGAUACCCUGGUAGUCCACGCCGUAAACGAUGAGUGCUAAGUGUUAGGGGGUUUCCGCCCCUUAGUGCUGCAGCUAACGCAUUAAGCACUCCGCCUGGGGAGUACGACCGCAAGGUUGAAACUCAAAGGAAUUGACGGGGACCCGCACAAGCGGUGGAGCAUGUGGUUUAAUUCGAAGCAACGCGAAGAACCUUACCAAAUCUUGACAUCCUUUGACAACUCUAGAGAUAGAGCCUUCCCCUUCGGGGGACAAAGUGACAGGUGGUGCAUGGUUGUCGUCAGCUCGUGUCGUGAGAUGUUGGGUUAAGUCCCGCAACGAGCGCAACCCUUAAGCUUAGUUGCCAUCAUUAAGUUGGGCACUCUAAGUUGACUGCCGGUGACAAACCGGAGGAAGGUGGGGAUGACGUCAAAUCAUCAUGCCCCUUAUGAUUUGGGCUACACACGUGCUACAAUGGACAAUACAAAGGGCAGCGAAACCGCGAGGUCAAGCAAAUCCCAUAAAGUUGUUCUCAGUUCGGAUUGUAGUCUGCAACUCGACUACAUGAAGCUGGAAUCGCUAGUAAUCGUAGAUCAGCAUGCUACGGUGAAUACGUUCCCGGGUCU
rnacentral:rRNA from 1 species